UACGUAGGGUGCAAGCGUUGUCCGGAAUUAUUGGGCGUAAAGAGCUCGUAGGCGGUCUGUCACGUCGGCGGUGAAAACCCUAGGCUCAACCUCGGGCCUGCAGUCGAUACGGGCAAACUAGAGUGAUGCAGGGGUGACUGGAAUUCCUGGUGUAGCGGUGAAAUGCGCAGAUAUCAGGAGGAACACCGGUGGCGAAGGCGGGUCGCUGGGCAACAACUGACGCUGAGGAGCGAAAGCGUGGGGAGCGAACAGG
rnacentral:rRNA from 1 species